GAUGAACGCUGGCGGCGUGCCUAACACAUGCAAGUCGAGCGAUCUUCUUCGGAAGAGAGCGGCGGACGGGUGAGUAACGCGUGGGUAACCUGCCUCAUACACAUGGAUAACAUACCGAAAGGUAUGCUAAUACAAGAUGAUAUAAGAGAUUCGCAUGGAUUUCUUAUCAAAGCUUUUGCGGUAUGAGUUGGACCCGCGUCUGAUUAGCUAGUUGGUAAGGUAAUGGCUUACCAAGGCGACGAUCAGUAGCCGACCUGAGAGGGUGAUCGGCCACAUUGGAACUGAGACACGGUCCAAACUCCUACGGGAGGCAGCAGUGGGGAAUAUUGCACAAUGGGCGAAAGCCUGAUGCAGCAACGCCGCGUGAGCGAUGAAGGCCUCCGGGUCGUAAAGCUCUGUCCUCAAGGAAGAUAAUGACGGUACUUGAGGAGGAAGCCCCGGCUGACUACGUGCCAGCAGCCGCCGCCGUAA
rnacentral:rRNA from 1 species